UACGAAGGGGACUAGCGUUGUUCGGAAUCACUGGGCGUAAAGCGCGUGUAGGCGGUUCGGUAAGUCGGCUGUGAAAGUCCAGGGCUCAACCCUGGGAUGCCGGUCGAUACUGCCGGACUAGAGUUCGGAAGAGGCGAGUGGAAUUCCCGGUGUAGCGGUGAAAUGCGCAGAUAUCGGGAGGAACACCAAUGGCGAAGGCAGCUCGCUGGGACGUUACUGACGCUGAGACGCGAAAGCGUGGGAGCAACAGG
rnacentral:rRNA from 1 species